ensembl:lncRNA
GUUGGAGACAAGGGUAGGAUUUAAGCAUCUGUUGGAAAAAGCAGAAGAAUUAGAAGAAAACUUCCUGGAGAAUCAAGUCAUUAUGCCCUUCUUGGAGCAAAAGCUCAGGAGUGGCAUUCAUCUAUGGAAAUAAAGACUAAGAAAUGCAUGUAAUCUGUACCAGUCAAGCAGCUGGAGAGAAAUAGGGUCUUAAUUCCCACUUUUGGUCCCUCCAGAGGAGUGGUUUUCUCCUGCUUUAACUCCGUCUUUGUUGAAGCCACACCAGCCUUUGUCUCUGAGUUCCAGAGAGCCUAUUUCCCUCUGAGUUUAUUUACUCUCUCCUCUUCUGCUGCCCACAUGGCGUUUUCCUUUACUUACAGGAGUCCUAAAGACCUGAAACAGCAGCAGGCAGAUUAAAAAUUAAUAAGAGUCUCAGAGGGAGAGUACCAAGAUGCAGUUGGCUCUGUGAUCGGCAAUUUUUUGAGGUUCUUUAAAUACCCAAUUAUUUUCAAGACACCUACGGAACAGAAACUAUAGGACAUGAGAAAUAGAUUUCAGGCCAGAGGGAAUACAUUUUUAAGCAAAAUUCUUUUAACUUGAAGAAGAGAAGAAUUAUGUCUAUGAUGCUGCUCUUCAUUGCCAACCUCUCUUCCCCAAAUCUCCACCUAUUUUUUUUCUCUUUUAUAGUUUGAGGUGACUGGCCCAGCAGGAGUGAGAAGAAUUUAUCUUCAGCAUAAACUUCAUUAUUCUACAGUGUUUCUUCAUUUGCCUGAGAGGCUCCAGGUUACGUACAGCUGGGACUGCUGCUACCUGAUUGCAAGAAUUAUAUAAGACCAAGAUAAUGAAGGCUAGAUUUAAAAAACAUAAAGCCUAAACCUGUGUGUGCUAUGGUAAAAACCUGCAUUCCAUGAGGCAAAGCUUGAGUGGAUAAUGGACAUCUUUCAUAUUCUCCGGCUCAAUGAAUUGAAGCAUUCUCAUCUUUUGAAUCCCUCUACUCCAAAGAAGAAGCCAGCAGUCUUGUCCGGGACCCAGCCCAGUACCCAAGGCUCAACUCCACAUCACUUCCAGGUAAGCAUUUUGGGUAUACUGACACCUCUGUGUCUCUUCAUUCACUUAUACAAUGAUUCUCUUUGGGUUCUGCAUCUUUUUCCGGUCUAGUUAGCGUGGCUGGGGUGGGUUAUGAGGCACACAAGGAAAAAAAUCUCAAGGGUUGAGUAUGAACAGAUCAAAUGAGAAGGGGAAGUUGGCAUGGAAAACUGAUUGCCACCUUCAGUGAAACAUUCAAACUUAUAAGUGGAUUUUCUGAUGAAUUAUUUAUGGUUUCCUCCUCCCCUCUUGCCUUUACUUUUCUUUUCAUAGAAUACCAGAGGAUAAAAGAAUUGAGCUAUAGGUCUAAAG